GACGAACGCUGGCGGCGUGCUUAACACAUGCAAGUCGAACGGAAAGGCCCUGCUUUUGUGGGGUGCUCGAGUGGCGAACGGGUGAGUAACACGUGAGUAACCUGCCCUUGACUUCGGGAUAACUUCAGGAAACUGGGGCUAAUACCGGAUAGGAGCUCCUGCUGCAUGGUGGGGGAUGGAAAGUUUCGGCGGUUGGGGAUGGACUCGCGGCUUAUCAGCUUGUUGGUGGGGUAGUGGCUUACCAAGGCUUUGACGGGUAGCCGGCCUGAGAGGGUGACCGGCCACAUUGGGACUGAGAUACGGCCCAGACUCCUACGGGAGGCAGCAGUGGGGAAUAUUGCACAAUGGGCGGAAGCCUGAUGCAGCAACGCCGCGUGCGGGAUGACGGCCUUCGGGUUGUAAACCGCUUUCGCCUGUGACGAAGCGUGAGUGACGGUAAUGGGUAAAGAAGCACCGGCUAACUACGUG
rnacentral:rRNA from 1 species